CUGGCCAUAUCAUGUUAAAAAAACUAGUCUGCAUAUGAUCACUGAAAUUAAGCAAUGUUGAGCCUGGUCAGUACGUAGAUGGGUAACAGCUUGGGAAUACCAGGUGCUGUA